rnacentral:rRNA from 1 species
AACGUAGGAGACAAACUUUAUCCGGAGUUACUGGGCGUAAAGGGCGUGUAGGUGGUGCUGUAAGUCUGGCGUGAAAUUUUUCGGCUUAACCGGGAAAGGUCGUCGGAUACUGCAGGACUAGAGGACGGUAGAGGCGUGUGGAAUUCCCGGUGUAGCGGUGAAAUGCGCAGAUAUCGGGAGGAACACCAAUGGCGAAGGCAGCUCGCUGGGACGGUACUGACGCUGAGGCGCGAAAGCGUGGGGAGCAAACAGG